rnacentral:rRNA from 1 species
AGAACGAACGCUGGCGGCAUGCCUAACACAUGCAAGUCGAACGCUUCCGGGGCUUCGGUCGCGGAGGAGUGGCGCACGGGUGAGUAGCGCGUGGGAACCUGCCCUGUUGUGGGGGAUAACCGAGGGAAACUUCGGCUAAUACCGCAUACGCCCCGGGACUUGGUCUUCGGAUUAGGUCUGGGGGGAAAGAUUGAUCGCAGCAGGAGGGGCCCGCGUCGGAUUAGCUGGUUGGUGGGGUAACGGCUCACCAAGGCGAUGAUCCGUAGCUGGUCUGAGAGGAUGAUCAGCCACACUGGGACUGAGACACGGCCCAGACUCCUACGGGAGGCAGCAGUGGGGAAUAUUGGACAAUGGGGGCAACCCUGAUCCAGCAAUGCCGCGUGAGUGAUGAAGGCCUUAGGGUUGUAAAGCUCUUUCGCCCGCGACGAUGAUGACGGUAGCGGGAGAAGAGCCCGGCUAACUUCGCGCCAGCAGCCGC